ACUUGAUGAUGUGGACAUUUACGCAAAAGGUCCUUAAAACACUCCCAAGUCUCAAAGAAUUGCUCGCUAUCUAUCUAGGAAAAACUACUGAUGGCCUUCCUAAGCU